GGCAUUCUAUCAUAAAUGGUAUUUACUGUUACAAAUUAUGUUAUGUGUCUGACGUAAAAGAUUAGUAGAGCCCAUAUAUUCAAUCACACAUUAUGACAUUUGGAUUAAAUAAAUAAGUAUUUAUAUAUAUAUAUAAUUUUAACGAAAAUCCAUUUUUUUUAAAAUUAAAAAAUUAAAAUCCAAUUUUUUUUUCCGCAACUUCCCACCUCCUCUCUAUACUUAUCUCUCUCCCCCCUCUAUUUCCCUCUGCCCUCUCUCCCUCUAUUUUCUCUCCCCUUAUGCUCUCCCUCUCUCCUCCAUGUGCUUUCCCUCUCCCUUUGUUUUUUUUUUCUUGCCUAGAACCCGACGACCCCAUCCCCACCCUCUCCCUUUGUAUAUUUUGCAAAAUAAUCACUUGCAUAAGGGAAGUUCUACAUAUCCUUUCACACAAACAUUUAUUCAAACAACUUUAAAAAAAAAAUUAAAAAAAAAGGUAAAGGGAGAGCAGAGGGGGAGACUAGAGGAGGCAAGAAAAUACAGAGGGACAGUUGGGCGUGGGUUUCGGGUGAGGAUGUUCGGGUUGUGAGCAAGAAAAAAAAAUUGAGGGAGAGAGGGAGAGCAUAGGGUGAAGAGGGUGGAAAGAGAUGGCAUAUGGGGAGAGAGACGAAGUAGAGGGAGGGGGAUAAGAAGUUGCAGAGAAAAAGUAUUUUCAUUAAAAAAAAUAUUUAUUUAUUUAAUUCACAUGUCACGAUGUGAUUGAGCAUAUAGGCUCUACUUAUCUUACAUGUCAGAUUUAACAAAAUUUUUAAUAACAUAGAUCAUUUGUGAUGAAAAAAGUCCUAAUGUUAAGGACUAUUAAUGUCACAAAAAAACUUCAAAAACCAUUCGUGACAAUUUCAUAAAUCUUAGAGACCAUUUGUGAUAAAAAGUCUUAAUGAAAUGAUGAUGUAUAGACCUAGCUAGGGUAGGGGGUCCAUAUGAUAUCAUUCUGGUUUGAUGGGACAAAAGAUGAGACACCACCACCCAAUAAAAUUUUCAAGUAGUGGUAAAUCUUAAGUCUUUUGAUUUGAUACGUAGCAAUGUGGAUCUUAAGAAUUUUGAAGAAGGUAAUAAUGCAAACCUCACAAGGUGUAGUUUGAAAAAGUAAAAAACCCUAGCUUCUGAGAGUGCCUUUCACCGCCGUUUCACCUCACUAAGAGGAAGGAGAUCAUUACCCCUCCCCUUUCUCUCCUGUUUCUUAACCAUGUUUUGAGUAUCUUUCGAGGUCUCUCUCGAAGCAUUUGGCUUCACCCAUUUUGAUGGGUCCGAAGCUGUCUCCUUCUUGAGAGCUAGUGACUUGAUCGAGUUUUCUUGCUUGGAUCUAAGGCUUUAUGCUCUAUUCUUAUGAGUUUUCCUAGAUCUCCACCGUUCCAAUGCUCUCAGUGUUGUCUCUUGGCUGUCCCCCAAUUGGUCGUUGUUUCUUCUAGGUGUAUUGGUGAUUUCGAAUCUUGCGGCGAUGGAGUUUCUCGGUUAAUGUUGGCUAUCACUCAGACUCUCUCUCUCUCUCUCCCCUCUCGGUCUGGCUUCAUCUCUUGGUUACAACUGCUAAUCUGAAAAAACGAUUUCUCACGAACAUCCUGGAAUAUGUGUAGAGCUACAACACAACUAUGCUCGGGUGCUUGCACUGCCUCAUUCCUUCAUGUUUCACGGUUCUGGUUCUUAUGGCAUUAGGCUGUUUUGAGAGUUAUGCGAUUAUGGUGGCAGAUCUGUGGUGGUUAUGUUUUUAUGUUGUGUAUGUUGAUGUUUUGUUCAACUAGUUUUGUCAAAUUUAAUUUUGUUUAUCUGGUAUCAUCAUCCGAGAUAGUCCUGUUGUCCCUAUCCAUGUGAUAUUGCAAAUUAGUUUGUUCCUCUGAGCUUUCUUAUUGGGUUGUUAUGUCUUGUUAUAUUUGUGUCCUCCCUAUUUUGGAUGAGAUUUCAUAAUGAAAUGCCAUCAUUCCAUUAAAAAAAAAAAAAGUAAUUCUCAACAAAUCAACAAACAAUAAAGAAGGAUAAUAAUCUCCAUUUCAAGUGUAGGGCGGGCAUAUAUGGUUUAGUUGUGUUUUGUUUUCUUGCAUUUCGUGGUUCAAAAUGAAAUGAUAAAAUCAUGCCAUGCAUUUGGUCUUACAAAAUAUAUUUCCCGAUGGUUCCUAAACUAGUUUAUUUAAUUUGUAUGCAUGUAUAUACAUAAAUUAUUUUAUGCGGAUAUUCGAACGUUAUUAUUACGUGGAAGUUAUGCAUUUUAUAUUACCCUUCUUUAUUUUCUCUUAUGUUUAUAAUAACAUUCCCACAAUAAUAACGUGUGGACAUCUAAAUGAGAGAAAAUAUAUAUAUAUAUAUAUAUAUAUAGCCUAGAGGCAUGCAUGUAGUGUAUAGAAGAUAAAGACAGAUACCUUUCACCUAAAUCAUCCUAAAUCAAAUCAGUAAAAGGAGUAAAGGAGUUAGGUGGCACAGCUUCAAUGCCACAUGGAAAUGGAAUAGGAUAGGGUCAAUAUCUUGAGGGCCCGUUCAGAUGUCUCUUUCCCAUAGGUUUAACCGGUGGUGGUCCCACCCUCUCCACUAAUGUCCUUUCUGAUUGUCCCACCAUUUUAUUGUGAUCUAUGAUAAAAGUUUAUUUCUUUAUUUCUUUUUUCUUUUUUAUUUGUGGUGCGAUCUCAAAUUCGUUGCUUAUUUACUAGGUUUUUUUUUUUUGGGGGAAAAUGUUGCCUAUCACUUUGUUAGCGUUUGAUGGGCUUCAAGUCAUAAUUGGCCAUGGAUGAUUAAAAAGUACAUUAUACAGAACAAUUCAUGAAUGUUAUGGGAUGACAUCCUCACUCAAGUCUUGCCAUAAUCUAGCAAAUUUUUUUCUUUCUUUAUAAAUCAUGUUGGAAAUUGUUCUUAACACUCAAUCUAAAUUUAUGCACUCGUAAAGAAGAAUGUAUAAAGUUAGUUUUGAAGUAUAUUUGUUAUUUUAUGUUUUUUUUAAAAUCUUUAUCAUUUAGGAGUUUAUAUACGUCUCACAAUAUAAUUCACUUUUCUGCUCAUUAUAUCUCCUAUAAAUGAUCACGAUGGUGGGGAAGGGAAUAGAAUUGGUGAUCACCAUAAGGGUAAUGAUGAAUGCAUGGAAAGGGCAAGGAUAGAUGGGAGCAUUGUCAUGCUCCAUAUCCAACUCUUAAAAUAGAGAAAGCUUUAAAUCUGAGGAGUGAUAAAUGAAUUCCUAGUGGUUGUGGUUCUUUAUAGUUAAGUUACAAUAGCUCGGAGUAACUCCUAAGAUAACUUAUUAGUUUAAAAAUAUGAAGCAUGAUUAGAGAUGUCCUUGAUCUAUAGUAACAAAUCAAUGUUUCAGAAAUAUUUUCUUCUUAACACUCCCAUAGCAUAGCAUAGACCCAUCUGUUUGGUAAAAAUUCGGACAUUUUAAUUAUAACUAGGAUGGUCCAAGAUGCCACAUAAAACCCCACAGACUGAUCAAUAAAAAGGAAAUUGUACUGUAUUUCGCCAAGAUCAGAUCAACGUUGACAUAUAUGAUUUUAUUUAUAUGACCGAAAAAAUAAAUUAAUUUCGGAUAAAUGAUAAUAGAAUUGGAUUUAUGCCUUCAAGGAUUCCAUCCUGAACAUGGAAUUGUGCCUGGAAGGAUUCCAACUUACAAGUUAAUCAUUAUGUUUCCGAUGGCUACGUAAAGCUCAAUUCAUGUGGAUAAAAUUCAUCCUAAUAAAAGAAGAAAGGGGAAGGGGAAGAUGCCCAUCAUACUAUAUAUGAAAGGGGGAGGGAGAAAAUAUUUACAAGAAUGCCAACACACGAAUAAUUUUUUAUGACAAAAGGAGUGAGAAAGGGACCCAACUGAGUUUUGCUCAAGGGAAUUGUUCCAUAACAAAUAGUAAGACAAGUUUUUAUUUUCAAAUUGCUAAUGUUACUUGUUGAUUAAAUUGUUGUAUGGCUUAUCACAUCUCUUCCCUAGGAGAGAUUUACUUAAUCUCUCUAGAAAUAGGAUCUAGCGAAUUUCGUUUUCGUUUUCGUUUAUGUAAAGAAAAAUAUUUCCCUACUCCGAUAUCACUGUUUUCUUCUCUCUUUAUAUCAUUAAUCAUAUGAGAAGAGAGAUAGAAAAAAAAGACAGGGACACUGGAAUAUGAAGUUUCCCUCGUGCGUAAGAGCAGUGGCUUUGAAUAUGAUAGGGUCCUUUUUACUCUGCCAGGUGCCAAUAUCAAAACCAAUACCAAUUAUCAUUGGCCUUCCCCAUUGGAGCAAUCAAUUUAUCAUUAUCUUUGGCAUAUGUUGCGGACAACGAUCACUUCAACACGAACAUCACAGGGAAGCCAAUAAUUGAUGGCCCAAGUGGUAUCAGUCGUUCUAUGCUAAGGACCUUACAUACGAACUGUAUUUUUAGCCACAAAAUUCAUGUUAAUGGUGGAUUCACUUAAAUUAUAACCGGGUUAAUGAAACCUACACACUUCUUACAUCGAGAAUCAAAGCAUCUCCCAAAUAUCAGAAUUCUAUAAUAAGGGUUUUAUUUAUAUAUGGCUCUUAUGUAAGGUUCUAUCUCUUAAAUGUUGGAUCAAAUUGGUUAGUCGUUAGAUCAAAUUAGUUAGCCUGAUCAAAUAGUUAAGAGAUAAAGUCAUCUCCAAGUGAGGGCGAGUUCCUAAAUUAUAGCCCUAAAUCCCUAAAACACAUCUUCAAGAGUGGACUAAAUAAAAUGCCAAUUCCUAAUGAUCCUUUGACCAGCUCGGACUAAAUAAUUGGAUGGGGCCCAUUUGCUUUUUUGUUUUUUUGUUUUCUUGUAUCAAAUAGGUCAUUUGUUGCCAUUGAUUAAAGAACCGUUGCAAAUCAAGGGCCUGGAGCAACCCAACGGCUAGUUGACGUCAGCAAGCUGUUUUUUAUUAUUAUUUAUUUUUAAUUUAAAAAAUUCAAAAACAUGUAUAAAUACCUACCUCAUUCUUACAUAAUUUUUCACAACAUCUUCAUCAUUUUACAUAGAGUAAUGCUAUUUGGACACACAACAUUGACUACCUUAACUGACCACCUUAUGUGGCAACUGAUGUGUCAUGCCAUGUCAAUUAAUGAGUGUCACCAUGUCCCUUAAUCUAGAAAGGAGUAAAACAUCGAAUGACGUGAUUUGAGAUGACCUUGAGUGAGUGGUGAUGGUAGAGAACAUUAAAUUCAUAUGGAAAUACAAGCAAGGCUAGCUGGAGCUGUCUCUUGACAGGCGCUGUUUUGAGUGUGGGAGGAUUGCAAGAGUGGUUGGGUUGAGGGCAUGUCAUGGUAUGAAACAAGAUGUAUUAAAAAUGAUGGAAGUGUCGAGGACCGAUGCAGAGAGUUGUCAGAUUGAGCACCCAAGAUUGCCUCACCAAGGGCAGUAGAAAGNNNNNNNNNNNNNNNNNNNNNNNNNNNNNNNNNNNNNNNNNNNNNNNNNNNNNNNNNNNNNNNNNNNNNNNNNNNNNNNNNNNNNNNNNNNNNNNNNNNNGCAUUCCUAGUGAGUAGCAUUCCUAGUGAGUGGCCUCAUGGCAACAUUCAUUAAUUGACAUGGCAUGACACAUCAGUUGCCACAUAAGGUGGUCAAUUAAGGUGGUCAAUGUUGUGUGUCCAAAUAGCAUUACUCUUUUACAUAUUAUCCUACCUCAAUUUCAUCCUUUUACAUAAUUUCUCACAUUUUCUUCAUUCUUUUACAAACUAUCCUUCAUCUUUUUCCAUUUAAAAAAAAAAAAAAUCUUUCCUCCGAUUGUUUGAAAAAAUUGCUGGUAUUUCGAAGAAGGGCGAAAAUUGGACUCGAAAGAAAGAUGAAACUCUUUGCCAUGCUUAUGUAAAAGUCUCCGAAGAUAGCCUCAAGGGUACAAGCCAAACUUUUGACGGCGUUUGGACGCGUGUUUCUAAAAAAUACUAAGAGCUUUACAAAGGCACUGCUCCGAGGCCGAGAAACCAUGAAAGUUGUAUCUGUCGAUGGAAGAAGCACAUAUUUCCGAGCAUGAACAAAUGGCAUCAAGCCUUGAAAAGGGUCGAGAGGAGACAUCUAAGAGGAGCCAAUGUCUCUGAGAAAGUAAAUUUUUGUACUAAUUUCUUUACUUAUUAUUUUAAACUACAUACUUUAAUUUUAUUUAAUUUACUUUAAUUAUAUUUUCUAGCAACGCCAAGCGGAGGAGUUCUACAUGGAAGAUGUCAAAAAAGCCUUUAAACUUCAUCAUUGUUGGGAAAUUUGUAAAGGUUGAGUGGCAUUUCAAGACCCACCAGAAGAAAUUUUUGGUCCUACAUCGGUGCGAAAAAAUUUGCCCUUUAAUUUAGAUGAAGAUGAAGAACCAUCUCCGAUCACCAACGAAGAUCCUUCUUCUGCUCAAACAUCCAUUCCUAGACCUAUAGGACGAAACAAGGCAAGAAGAAUGAAAGAAAAAGGCAAGGAAAGG
rnacentral:lncRNA from 1 species